ACUCCGACCCAGCACAGUAUUUAUGUGGGUUAAAAAAUAGAAAAAGUGUGUCCGGACACUAGGGAGGUGGGAAGUUUUCUUCAGGUCAGGAGUUCAAGAGCAGCCUAGCAAAGUGGUGUGACCCCAUUUCUGUAGUCCCACCUCAGCCUCCCAGCUAGUUGAACCCCAAGGUUCAAGGCUGCAAUGAGCUAAGAUUCUACCACCGCACUCCAGCCUGCGAGACUGAGGUAAACCCUGUCUAAAAAAAUAAAAAAGAAAACUAUCCAAGUGUGCAACAUUGGGGGACUGCUUAAAGAAAAAUUGAGGCUGCCUGGGCCCUGUAAUCCCAGCAUUUUGGGAGGCUGAGGCGGGAGGAUGGCUUGGAAUCAGGAGUGUGAGACUGGCCUGAGCAACAUGACAAAACCCCGUCUCUACAAAAGAUACAAAAAUUAGCCAGGCACAGUGCAUGCCUAGCCUAAUAUUUUGUAUUUUUGUGUAGAGAUGGGAGGGGGAGAUCCUCCCAUUUUGCCCAGUUUGGUCUUGAACUCCUGAGUACAAGCCAUCUUCUCACCUUGGCCUUCAGAGUUGUUGGGAUUAAAGGUGUGAGCCACGGCGCCCCACUUGGUUUAGGCUAUUUAGUAACAAAGUCCGUGGCUUGGCUUGCUGGCUCUGUAAUUCCAGCACUUUGGGAGGCCAAGGCAGGUGGAUCACCUGAGGUCAGGAGUUCGAGAUCAGUGUAGCCAACGUGAUGAAACCCAGUUUCUACAAAAAUUAGCCGCAUGUGGUGGCACAUGCCUGUAGUCCCAGCUACUAGGGAGGCUGACACAGGCGAAUUGCUUAAACCCAGGAGGCAGGGGUUGCAGUUAGUCAAGAUCACAUCACUGAACCCUAGCCUGGUUGACAGAGUGAGACUCCAGAGUUUGAGACCAGCCUGGGCAAUGUAGUGAAACCCUGAUUCUUCAAAAGAAACAAAUAAAAAAGGCAGGUGUAACUGUGUCCACUUGUGUCCCCUGCCACUUAGGAUGCUGAGGCAGGAGGAUCACCUGAGGCCAGGAGCAGGUCUGCAGUGAGUAGGGUCAUCCCACAACCCUCCAUCCUGAGCAAAAGAAUGAGACCAUGUCUCUAGAUAGCUAGCUAGAUAAUUGGUAAGUAGUUUUCUAUCACAAUUUUUUCUCUACAUUUGAGCAUAUUUUUCUAAAGUAGCAUUCAACACAACAGCAUUUUACAGUGUUAUUAGAUGUUAAUGUGAUUAUGUUUUUCUGAAAUACAGUAUCCUUUACAAAAGCAGUUUUUGUCUGUCAAAGCGCACGGAUAGGUCCUCAAGUGAAUUUGCCUGAUGUUAGUGACCUUGGUAGCAUUUCCUCCCGUUGAUUGCAACAGUCAGUAAUUUGAGGUCACCGUUACCCUUGGAGGAAGAGCCCAAAGGCAACAAGUAAGGGCACUGGUGUCCAGUCCCUUCAAGAAGCAUUUUCACCUUCCCUUAAGGUUUCCCUUGAUGAACAUGGAAGUACUGUAUGUAGAAUUGACUGUUCCAGCAUCUUUGUAUAUUAGGCCAAAGUUAUAUGUCUUCCUUUUAUGAGAGGCACCCUGGUAAGCUAGGGGAGUUACACAUGAAGUCUGAUCUUACCUUCUCUGUCCAGAGAUGCAAGAUGGUCCAAUCAAAUAACAUUCUCUGAGCCUGUUUCUCUUUUACUUAUUUUAUUUAUUUUUUAUUUUUUAGAGACGGGGUCUUGCUCUUUUGCUGUGGUGUCAUCUUAGAUCACUGCAACCUCCAACUCUCGGGUUCAAGUGAUUCUCCUGCCUCAGCCUCCUGAGUAGCUUGGACUACAGGCACGUGCCACCACAUCCAGCUAAUUUCUGUAUUUUUAGUAGCGAUGCGGUUUCACCAUUUUGGCAGAGAUCGUCUUGAUCUCUUGACCUCAUUAUCCACCUGCCUUAGCCUCUUAAAAUGCUGUGAUUACAGAUGUGAGCCACCACACUUGCCCUGAGCUCAUUUUUUUAGCUGUAAAAUAAGAAUAACAACUGUACUAAUCUAAAAAGACAGCUUAUUGUAUUGUCUUUUAUUUUCUAUGAAACUGUCUUUAACACAAUAAUUAUUUUCUUUGCCGUGCCACAUUUGUUUUUGUUUUGUCUUUGUUUUUCUUUUAGAUGGAGUCUGUUUUGUUUUGUUUUUGUUUUCUUGAGAUGGAGUCUCGCUGUUGUAGCCCAGGCUGGAGUGCAGUGGCAUGAUCUUGGCUUAUCCUGUAUCAUACCCACAGAGACCCUUUUUUUCUCCAGGGCCUGGGAAGCAGCCAGGUUCCAUGAGUUAAAUGCAGAUCUGAACCAUACUGAGCUGGGAUUAAAGUACACACCCUCCUCUUCUGAAAAGUAGCUAAGGAUUCCAACUUGGUGUAGUGGAGAGUGUGGCAGAGCCAGACCAGACAAGGACCGAUCACCUGGAAAAGCAUGUUGUCAAAGGCCUUGGUGAGUGCUGAGUGCCAGAGCUCACACCGGUAAUCCCAGCACUUUGGGAAGCUGAGACAGGUGGAUCGCUUGAGUCCAGGAGUUUGAGUAGAGCCUGGGAAACAUGGCAAAACCUGUCUCUACUAAAAACACAAAAAUUAGCCAGGUGUGUUUUGAGAUGAAGUCUGGCUCUCUCACCCAGGCUGGAGUGCAGUGGCACAAUCUUGGCUCACUACAACCUCCGCCUCCCCCUCUUCAGGUUCAAACUGUUCCCAUGUCUUAGCCUUCCAAGUAGCUGAGAUUACAGGCAUGUGCCAUGCCACCACACUAGCUAGUUUUUUUGCAGAGACAGGGUUUCACCAUGUUGACCAGGCUGGUCUCGAACUUCUGAUCUCAAGUGAUCUGCCCACUUUGACCUCCCAAAAUGCUGGGAUUACAGGCAUGAACCACAGCACCCAGCCCCUUCAGGUGCGUUUUGAGGCUUCACUAUGAUACUAGUUUCCUGUUUCUGCUGGAACAAAUUACCACACACUUAGGGCUUAAAACAACAUAGACGUAGCUGGGCAUGGUAGCUCAUACCUGUAAUCCACUUUGGGAGGCUGAGGCGGGCGGAUCACCUGAGGUUGGGAGUUCGAGACCAGCCUGACCAACAUGGAGAAACUCCACCUCUAAUAAAAAUAUAAAAAUAGCUGGGUGUGAUAGUGCAUGCCUGUAAUCCCAGCUACUCAGGAGGCUGAGGCAGGAGAAUUGCUUCAACCUGGAAGGCGGAGGUUGCAGUGAGCCGAGAUCGUGCCAUCACACUCCAGCCUAAGUAAAAAGAGGGGAACUCUGUCUAAAAAAAAAAAAAAAAAAAAAAGCAACACAGAUGUAUUCGCUUAUGUUCUGAAGGCCAGAAUUCUAAAGUCGGUCCCACUGACUCAAGGUGGGAGCAGGGCAGGUACCUUCCCAGGCUCUGAAGGAGAAUGAGUUUCUGGCCCUGGAGGCUUCCUGGAAUCCUCAGCUUGUGCUGCCCUUCUUGAAUGACUGGAGGUUCCUGCUUCCAUCACUACACUUCCCAUCGCUCUCCAUCACCUGCUCUGCUCUGGCUGGCUGCAGUCUUCGUUCCCUGCAACAUUUGUCUCCUGGGUUCAAGUGAUUCUUCUACCUCAGCCUCCUGAGUACCUGGGACUACAGAGAAAUGCAAUGAUGGUAUCGCUGAUCUAUGUAAACACAUUGAAGAACUAUCUGAAAGAAAAUAUGAAUCUUGCUCUGUUGCACAGACUGAAGUGCAGUGGCAUGAGAUCUUGGCUCACUACAACCUCUGCCUCAUGGUUUCAAGCAAUUCUUCUGCCUCAGCCUCCCAAGUAGCGGGAAUCAUAGAGUCUUCCUCUUUCACUCAGGCUGGAGCGCAGUGGUGGGAUCUCAGCUGGCCGAAACCUCCACUUCUCAGGUUGAAUUUAUCCUCUUGCCUCAGCCUCCCUAGUAGCUAGGACUACAGUAGAGAUGGGGUCUCAAACUCCUGACCUUGUGAUCUGCCUUCCUUGGCCUCCCAAAGUGCUCAGAUUACAGGCUUCAUGUGUCCCAGGCAAAGUCCCCAUUUCCAUCUCCAUGAGCUCCUCUCAAGGUCUACCAGCUACCCAAGCCAGAUGCCCAGGAGUUACUCUGAGAGCGCUGCUGGCUUUUUCCUCCUGCUUCGGCACAGUGGCUCUAACAGCCCAGAUCAUGCCUGUCUUGUUUACUUCUCAAGCAGGUUCUCAAGUGAUUCUCCUGCCUCAGCCUCCCAAGUAGCUGGGAUCACAGGUGUGCACCACCACACCCAGCUAAUUUUAUUUUUAAUUUGUAGUAGAGAUGGGGGUUCCACCAUGUUGGUCAGGCUGCUCUGAAACUCCUGAUCUAAGGUGAUCCAUUCACCUUGUCCUUUCAGAGUGCUGGGAUUACAGGUGUGAGCCACUGAGCCUGGCCAGGAAUGGAUUAUUUUUAUGCUUCCCCUUUUGAGACAUUGCCAUGGCAUUUGUAAACUGUCCUGGUGUUGGUGGGAGUGUAGUAGCAGUGAGGACGACCAGAGGCCACUCUUGUCACCAUCUUGGUUUUGGCUGGCCGCUUUACUGCAACCCAUUUUAUCAGCAAGGUCUUUAUGAAUUGUAUCUUGUGCUGACUUCCUUCCUCAGCCUGUGACUUAGAAUGCCUUAACUAUCUGAGAAUGCAACUCAAUAGGUCUCAGCCUCAUUUUACCCAGCUCCUAUUUUAGAUGGAGUUGCUCUGGUUCAAAUGCCUCUGAAAGGGGAAAGGAAAUCUUGGGAUUUUCAUUGCUGUGAACCACUGCACAUAUUGAGGAAAUAAUCACUACUUCCAACCUCAUAAUCCUGAAGUCAUUUGGUACCUGUGAGUCAGGUGUUGGAAACUGGGCAGUGUGGAAGACAGUGCCCUGCCCCAUGCAUUCUGGAACAUUUAAUCUGGUGGGGAAAUGUGUAGUAAGUAGGAGAUAUUUACUAUGGAAGAAGGGGUUAUGGUCUGGGAAAGAAUUAAGUGGAAUAAGGGGGAUAAAGAGGCAGAGGGUGUGAUUGGGACAGCCUCAGUGAUGCGUGAUGAGCACAUUCUGCAGUUGGUCUCACCUCUUUCUAAAACUUCCAGUUUUCACUCUCAACCCCAACAAAUGGUUCUUUUUUAUUUUAUAGAAAGUUUGUCAGAAUUAGGUUUAUAUAUUUCCUUGUUGAAUUAACAGAAUAAUUUGAUUUAACAUCACUGUCUAGUAUGACUGAAAGCUUCUAAUCUUUUACUGCUAUUUAUGGGCCUUCAAAUUUGAUGCUAAUAACAUGAAGUAAGAAUUUAAGACAACUCUUUAGGUGUUACAGGAAAGCCAGUCUAAUAACAAAGAAAUUAAUUUAUUAAUUAAUUUCAAGUUGACAUUCCAGUUGAGUUGUGGAGGUGGGGGAGGCAUUUUGGUAAAUGAGUUCAGAAGUAAGGAGAAAGAUCUGGCAAGAGAUAUCAUUUUGGAUUUUGUAGUAGUGUUUUGAUAGCAGUCGUUGAUAACACCAAAAUAAUUUAUCAGUGAGCUCGCUGACAGCUCCCUGACUUUUCAAAGAAACAGGGUCGUGUUAUGUUUUCUGGGCUGGGCUAGAACUCGUGGGCUCAAGUUAUCCUCCUCAGUCUCCUAAGUAGUAUCUAGGGCUACAGCCAUGUGCCACCAUGCCCAGGUUUGAGCCACUCCCAGCCAUCAUGUUGCAAAAUAUUUAAAUAUUACAUUCAGAGGUGCAUGGGAGAUCUGUAUAUAAAUAGCACCAUGUAAAUUGCUUGAAUGUUUUUGUUUAGAGUUUUGUUUGGAUGUGGCUUCAGAGCAGGGAUUAGUAAAUUCAUUUUUACUAUUUUUUUCUUAAGGCAGAUUCUCACUCUGUUGUUCAGGCUGGAGUGCAGUAGCUCACUGCAGCCUCUGCCUCCCAGGUUCUACUGAUUCUCUUGCCUCAGCCUCCUGAGUAGCUGGGACUACAGGUGCCUGCCACCACACCCAGCUCUUUUCUAUUUUUUUAUUAUUAUUUUUUGAUAGAAACAGGGUUUCACCAUGUUGGCCAGGCUGGUCUUGAUCUCCUGAUCCAAGUGAUCCCCCUGCCUUCGCUUUUCAAAAAGUUGGGAUUACAGGCAUGAGCCAUGGUGCCUGGCCAUUUUAUUUUAUUUUUUUUUUACAUUUUAAAAUUACAGUUUCUAUACCUAUUCAGAAGUAGAGAAAAGAGUACUAUGAACACUAAAAUACUUAUUCCUCAAUUUCUGUGAUCAUUAUCAUCUCUUAAUUGUUAGAUGUGUUUUGAAAGAAAUGGAAUGGAUUUGGUUACUGGUUUUGUUUCUGGAGCGGAGAGAGACAAAGCAGAAUGACUCCCACUGUUUAGAUUUCCUAAAAUGGAAGGAUUGCCAGCAGAUCAUAUUUCUGGUCUCCCAUAGCAAAUGUUUUCCUUCUUACUUUUUUUUUUUUUUUUUUUUUUUUUGAGAUGGCAUUUUGCUGUAUUACCCAUCCUGGAGUUCAGUGGUGUGAUCUCAGCUCACUGCAACCUCCACCUCCUGGGUUCAAGCAGUUCUCCUGCCUCAGCGUCCCAUGUAGCUGGGAUUACAGGCACAAACAACCAUGCCCAUCUAAUUUUUGUAUAGUAGAGGUGGGGUUUCACCCUAUUGGCCAGGCUGGUGUUGAGCUCUUAACCUUAGGUGAUCUGGCUGCCUCAGCCUCCCAAGAAUCUGGGAUUACAGAAACGUGCCACCAUGCCCAGUUAAUUUCUGUGUAGGUAGUAGAGAUGAGGUUUCACCACGUUGGCCAGGCUGCUCUCAGACUCCUGUCCUCGAAUGAUCCACCUGCCCUGACCUCCCAAAAUUCUGGGCUUACAGGUAUGAGCCACCCACGUUUGGCCAGUGAUUGACUUUCAUUUAUUUAUUUAUUUAUUUAUUGAGAUGAAG